UACGUAGGGCGCAAGCGUUGUCCGGAAUUAUUGGGCGUAAAGAGCUCGUAGGCGGCUUGUCACGUCGGGUGUGAAAGACCGGGGCUUAACCCCGGUUCUGCAUUCGAUACGGGCUGGCUAGAGUGUGGUAGGGGAGAUCGGAAUUCCUGGUGUAGCGGUGAAAUGCGCAGAUAUCAGGAGGAACACCGGUGGCGAAGGCGGAUCUCUGGGCCAUUACUGACGCUGAGAGACGAAAGCUAGGGGAGCGAAUGGG
rnacentral:rRNA from 1 species